GAACGCCGUAUGAUUCGAAAGUUUCACGUACGGUGUGAACAGGGGGAAAAGGGAGCGAUAAGUUCAAACCCUUACCUAUCUGUAU
rnacentral:ncRNA from 1 species